UGUAAUAGAGAAGCAUGCUUUCACCGGG
rnacentral:sRNA from 1 species